GUGAAUCAUCGAAUUUUUGAACGCAAAUUGCACUCUUUGGUAUUCCGGAGAGUAUGCCUGUUUGAGGGUCAGUUUAAAUAAAAAUCGGUGUGGUUGCUGCCUUUCGUGGUGAUGCAACGGAUUUAGGUCGUCUUGCCAUCGGUGAAGUCACCUAAAAUUUUGCAUGAUUUUUUUCUUACGUAUUUAAAUGAUUUUACGUACGUUUGCAAUAUCAAAUACUAGAUGUGUUAAUAC
rnacentral:misc_RNA from 1 species